AUUGACGGUAACCCCCAAGAAGGAAACCCCGGSCUAAACUUCGUUNNCAACAANCCGCGGUUAAAACGGAGGGGGCGAGCCUUUGUUCGGAAUUACCUAGCCGUUAAAGGCCCCGUAGGCGGCCUAUCUUUGUCAGSCGUGAAACCCCUGGGCUCAACCCAGGAAUUGCGCUUGGGACGGGAUGGCUUGAGUUCGGGAGAGGAGAGUGGAAUUCCCAGUGUAGAGGUGAAAUUCGUAGAUAUUGGGAAGAACACCGGUGKCGAAGGCGGCUCUMUGGACCGAUACUGACGCUGAGGCGCGAAAGCGUGGGGAGCAMACAGGAUUAGAUACCCUGGUAGUCCACGCUGUAAACGAUGUGUGYUAGACGUUGGGAAGCCUAGCUUCUCGGUGUCGCAGCUWACGCGGUAAGCACACCGCCUGNGGAGUACGGCCGCAAGGUUAAAACUCAAAGGAAUUGACGGGGGCCCGCACAWGCGGUGGAGCAUGUGGUWUAAUUGGACGCAACGCGAAGAACCUUACCAGCUCUUGACAUGUCUCGUAUGGGCCGGAGAGAUCCGGUCCUUCAGUUCGGCUGGCGGGAACACAGGUGCUGCAUGGCKGUCGUCAGCUCGUGUCGUGAGAUGUUGGGUUAAGUCCCGCAACGAGCGCAACCCUCAUCCUCAGUUGCCAYCAGUUCGGCUAGGCACUCUGAGGAAACUGCCGGUGACAAGCCGGAGGAAGGCGGGGAUGACGUCAWGUCCUCAUGGCCCUUAUGGGCUGGGCUACACACGUGCUACAAUGGCGGUGACAGAGGGCWGCGAGGCAGCGAUGCCAAGSUAAUCUCCAAAAGCCGUSUCAGUUCGGAUUGCUCUACGCAACUCGKGAGCAUGAAGUCGGAAUCGCUAGUAAUCGCGGAUCAGCAUGCYGCGUGA
rnacentral:rRNA from 1 species